GGUACCACCACUCUUUGAGGGUUUAUUGGAAGUUACUGCUGAGGCAGGGGGGUGUCAUUUUCUUCAGUGGUGUAGCCACUGAUAAGUUGCCAAUGGUCCUGUAAGCAACCCCCACCCCUGCUCGUGCAAGCAACUCCGAUUCUCCUCAGAGGGUUAUGAACACAGGCUUGAAAGAAGGGGAGGAUGGGAAGACAUUCACUACAUGCAUGCAGGGAACUGUCAAAGGAUAAAAGCAUACACAUAUGAGGCUUUAAAAGAAUAAUUUAGUUCUAUGUCUUCUUGGUUUGCUGCAGGGGAACAGGCAUGAACGACAGGGAAGGUAAACAGAACAACUGUGGUUCUAUUAAAUAAAUUCCCCAAAUCUCGUUAUGUGUACUUAUGUAUCAAUGGACAAAUCGCCUGAGCACGGGAGUCAUCAGAGCUGCAGAAGCACGGUUUCUGGCUGCAGACAUGGAGCUGACAAGAGAAUGGGGCUCAGUGGAGAGAGACACCCAGAGGGCAAGUCCAGGGCAGGCAGUGUCCACGCUAUGAAGAACCGAGAACCGGCUUCUACUGUUGAUGGCCUUUAUGGAAAUAUAAAUUCAAUCAGCAGCUGCAAAUUUCAUGAGACGUCCAUCUUCAUGCUGAAUUUCUAACCGAGUGUCAAAACAAUCUGUGGAUUUCUCUCUGAUGAAACACACAUUGAAUUGUAAAUUUCUGCAAUUUCCUCACGUUUGACUUUCAGCUGCCAGCCUGGAAACAGCCUACUGGGCUCAGCAGAUAAUGUUCCAGUCUUACUUCUUCAUUGCACUUAAAGAGUUAAAAUAUAUAAAAAUCAUGAUGUCUGCCUUCCCAGCACUGGACAAUUAAAUUUUCUGCACUAAUAAGAAAACAAGCCAAAUCCCCCCAAAAAUACAUGCUAUAUUUUAUAAAGUGCUGCCUAAGAAUGUG